rnacentral:tRNA from 148 species
GUCGGGAUAGCUCAGCUGGUAGAGCAGAGGACUGAAAA